rnacentral:lncRNA from 1 species
CGCUUUAGGCCCUCCGGGCUGCGCCGCUCCUCAGUGCUCUGAGCUGCUUCGCUGGUCCGAGCCUUAGGCCGGCUCGACGGGGACCUCAGUGCACGCAUGGACCUGCCCGCGCCCGGCGGGAAGCGGCCAGGCUGGCGGUGGCCCGGGCGGCGGAGCAGGGCCGAGGCAGCGGGCCCCUGAGCGCGCGCCCUGCAGGCCGGGCCGCAGCACCAUGAUGCCCGGCGAAACGCACCCGGCGGCGCCCGGGCCAGCCGACCUCGCGCGGUGUCAAGGCUGCGCCUCCCUGCAGCAGAACUUAAAUGAAUAUGUUGAAGCAUUAAUUGCCUUGAAACAAAAAAUUAUUAAUACAGAUAACCUGCUGACAGAAUAUCAGAAGAAAUGUGAUGAUAUCCUUUGCUU